UACGUAGGGUGCGAGCGUUGUUCGGAAUUACUGGGCGUAAAACGUGCGCAGGCGGUUUAUUAAGUCUGUUGUGAAAUCCCCGAGCUCAACUUGGGAAUUGCAAUGGAUACUGGCAGGCUGGAGUAUGGUAGAGGAAGGUGGAAUUCCCGGUGUAGCAGUGAAAUGCGUAGAGUUCGGGAGGAACACCAGUGGCGAAGGCGGCCUUCUGGACCAAUACUGACGCUCAUGCACGAAAGCGUGGGGAGCAAACAGG
rnacentral:rRNA from 1 species